rnacentral:rRNA from 1 species
CCUACGGGAGGCAGCAGUCGAGACUCAUUCACAAUGGGGGAAACCCUGAUGGUGCGACGCCGCGUGGGGGAAUGAAGGUCUUCGGAUUGUAAACCCCUGUCAUGUGGGAGCAAAUUAAAAAGAUAGUACCACAAGAGGAAGAGACGGCUAACUCUGUGCCAGCAGCCGCGGUAAUACAGAGGUCUCAAGCGUUGUUCGGAAUCACUGGGCGUAAAGCGUGCGUAGGCUGUUUCGUAAGUCGUGUGUGAAAGGCGCGGGCUCAACCCGCGGACGGCACACGAUACUGCGAGACUAGAGUGAGGGAGGGGGAACCGGAAUUCGCGGUGUAGCAGUGAAAUGCGUAGAUAUCGAGAGGAACACUCGUGGCGAAGGCGGGGUCCUGGACAUUAACUGACGCUGAGGCACGAAGGCCAGGGGAGCGAAAGGGAUUAGAUACCCCUGUAGUC